rnacentral:rRNA from 1 species
UACGUAGGUCCCGAGCGUUGUCCGGAUUUAUUGGGCGUAAAGCGAGCGCAGGCGGUUUGAUAAGUCUGAAGUUAAAGGCUGUGGCUUAACCAUAGUUCGCUUUGGAAACUGUCAAACUUGAGUGCAGAAGGGGAGAGUGGAAUUCCAUGUGUAGCGGUGAAAUGCGUAGAUAUAUGGAGGAACACCGGUGGCGAAAGCGGCUCUCUGGUCUGUAACUGACGCUGAGGCUCGAAAGCGUAGGGAGCAAACAGG